AAGAGGGAACCCGGUGGGAGUCCGGGACUGCCCCGCAGCGGUGAGCGGGAACGACCGCCGUCAUACGCACUGGGCCCAGCGCCCGGGAAGCGACGGCCAGUAGGAACCUCGUCGUACGGAUCGGUACGACAGGUGCGUCCGCGAGUCCGAAGACCU
rnacentral:ncRNA from 2 species